UCGUCUUCUGGUAUACCAACAUAGAAGAUAAUGCCUGCCCAGUGAACUUCUUAAACGGCCGCGUUAGCGUGAGCGUGCUAAGGUAGCGUAAUAAUUAGCCUCUUAAUUGGAGGCCAGUGAAAGGCAACACCAGGAAUUACUGUACUUUAUGUGCCAAAAGAACUUUCUUUCUAAGUGAAAAAGCUUAGAUAAUAACGGAAGACGAAAAGACCCCGCGGAACUUUACCUUUUCUUUUAAACUACCCACAUACACCAAGGUAAAAACAACAAGGUUUGAUUGGGGCAAUCCCGGAACCACCUAAACUUCCGACUCACUUACCACACAACAUUUGAAAUUUGUUUUGGAUUAAAAAGAAGUUACCCCGGGGAUAACAGCGUUAUCCAACUUAAGAGUACACAUCGAAAGUUGGGUUUGCGACCUCGAUGUUGGCUUAAGGACAUCCACAUAAGUGCAACCGCUAUGAAUGGAUAGUCUGUUCGACUAUUAUAACCUUA
rnacentral:rRNA from 1 species